AUACGUAGGGGGCGAGCGUUGUCCGGAAUGAUUGGGCGUAAAGGGCGCGUAGGCGGCGCGGUAAGUCUGGAGUGAAAGUCCUGCUUUCAAGGUGGGAAUUGCUUUGGAUACUGCCGCGCUUGAGUGCAGGAGAGGUUAUCGGAAUUCCCGGUGUAGCGGUGAAACGCGUAGAGAUCGGGAGGAACACCAGUGGCGAAGGCGGGUAACUGGACUGCAACUGACGCUGAGGCGCGAAAGUGUGGGGAGCAAACAGGAUUAGAUACCCUGGUAGUCCACACCGUAAACGAUGAAUGCUAGGUGUAAGAGGUAUCGACCCCUUUUGUGCCGGAGUCAACACAAUAAGCAUUCCGCCUGGGGAGUACGGCCGCAAGGUUGAAACUCAAAUGAAUUGACGGGG
rnacentral:rRNA from 1 species